GACGAACGCUGGCGGCGUGCUUAACACAUGCAAGUCGAACGAUGAAGCAAAGAAUCGAAGCUUCGGCAGAAAUUCAUUUCGGAUUAGUGGCAGACGGGUGAGUAACGCGUGAGCAACCUACCUCUUACAAAGGGAUAGCCUCGGGAAACCGGGAUUAAUACCAUAUAACAUUGCGACGAAGCAUUUCGAUGCAAUCAAAGCUACGGCGGUAAGAGAUGGGCUCGCGUCCCAUUAACCGGAUGGUGAGGUAACGGCUCACCAUAGUGACGAUGGGUAACCGGCAAGAGAGGGAGAACGGUGACAAUGGAAGUGAGACACGGUCCAGACUCCUACGGGAGGCAGCAGUGGGGAAUAUUGCAAAAUGGAGGGAAAUCUGAUGAAGCGACGCCGCGUGAGUGAUGAAGGAAUUCGUAUCGUAAAACUCUGUUAUAUGGGAAGAAAAGGACUGUACCAAAGGAGAAAGCACCGGCUAAAUACGUG
rnacentral:rRNA from 1 species